GACGAACGCUGGCGGCGUGCCUAAUACAUGCAAGUAGGACGCAGUUGGGAACGGGUCAGUAACGCGUAGGUACCUGACUGUUAGAGGGGGGUAACUAAUGGAAACGAUAGCUAAUACCGCAUACUAGUCGAUAGACCUGCGUUGGAUUAGCUAGUAGGUAGGGUAAUGGCCUACCUAGGCGAAGAUACAUAGCCGAGCGGAGAGGGUGAUCGGCCACAUUGGGACUGAGACACGGCCCAGAAUCCUACGGGAGGCAGCAGUAGGGAAUCUUCGGCAAUGGGGGGAAGUCUGACCGAGCAACGCCGCGUGAGUGAUGAAGGUUUUCGGGUUGUAAAGCUCUGUUGUUAAGGAAGCGGUACCUAACCAGAAAGCGACGGCUAACUACGUGCCAGCAGCCGCGGUAAUAC
rnacentral:rRNA from 1 species